ACUCAAAGGAAUAGACGGGGACCCGCACAAGCGGUGGAACAUGUGGUUUAAUUCGAUGCUACGCGAAGAACCUCACCUAGGCUUGACAUGCUCCUCAUAUCCCUAUGAAAGUAGGGAGUCGGUUCGGCCGGAGGAUGCACAGGUGCUGCAUGGCUGUCGUCAGCUCGUGUCGUGAGAUGUUGGGUUAAGUCCCGCAACGAGCGCAACCAUUGCCCCAUGUUGCUAUCAUUUUUUUCCUUACGGUUGAAAGUGAGCACUCUUGGGGGACUGCCUGGGAUAACCAGGAGGAAGGUGGAGAUGACGUCAAGUCAGUACGGCCCUUAUGCCUAGGGCUACACACGUGUUACAAUGGCAGGUACAGAGGGUUGCCAACCCGCGAGGGGGAGCUAAUCUCAAAAACCCUGCCUCAGUUCGGAUAGGAGUCUGCAAUCCGACUCCUUGAAGCCGGAAUCGCUAGUAAUGGGAGAUCAGAACGCUCCCGUGAAUACGUUCCCGGGUCUUGUACACACCGCCCGU
rnacentral:rRNA from 1 species